GACGAACGCUGGCGGCGUGCUUAACACAUGCAAGUCGGACGGAAAGGCCCUGCUUUUGUGGGGUGCUCGAGUGGCGAACGGGUGAGUAACACGUGAGUAACCUGCCCUUGACCUUGGGAUAACUUCAGGAAACUGGGGCUAAUACCGGAUAGGAGCUCCUGCUGCAUGGUGGGGGUUGGAAAGUUUCGGCGGUUGGGGAUGGACUCGCGGCUUAUCAGCUUGUUGGUGGGGUAGUGGCUUACCAAGGCUUUGACGGGUAGCCGGCCUGAGAGGGUGACCGGCCACAUUGGGACUGAGAUACGGCCCAGACUCCUACGGGAGGCAGCAGUGGGGAAUAUUGCACAAUGGGCGGAAGCCUGAUGCAGCAACGCCGCGUGCGGGAUGACGGCCUUCGGGUUGUAAACCGCUUUCGCCUGUGACGAAGCGUGAGUGACGGUAAUGGGUAAAGAAGCACCGGCUAACUACGUG
rnacentral:rRNA from 1 species